ACAGGGGAGGGACUUCAGAGCUGGGCCUGCGCCUGCGGGGCCGUACGAGUUGGCCCGGAGCAAGGCGGCCCAGGACAGGCAGGGGCUGCACGCGGUGAAGAAACCAAGACGCAGAGAGGCCAAGCCCCUUGCCUUGGGUCACACAGCCAAAGGAGGCAGAGCCAGAACUCACAACCAGAUCCAGAGGCAACAGGGACAUGGCCACCUGGGACGAAAAGGUAAUGGAUUCUGUGGUCUUGCAGCAUUAGAGGAUAUCCCAGCCUUGAGAGGAUAAUUCUGUUUGGUGUUUCAAACAGGAGAGGGAGAACUCCCUGUUCAGGUGUUUCCACUAUACUGAAAUAUUUAAAAUCAAAAUGAUGAAAAGCUGUAAAAGGACUUCACAAAACCUCCAAGUAGCCUGAUAUUCCACAUCAGACCAUUUGAAUCCCAGCCCUGUAUGUUAAUAACUAUGUGCGGUUUUUUUUGUUUUUUUUUUUUUGAGAUGGAGUUUCACUCUUGUUUCCCAGGCUGGAGUGCAAUGGUGCAAUCUCAGCUCACCAGAACUUCUGCCCCCCAGGGUUCAAGCGAUUUUCCUGCCUCAGCCUCCCAAGUAGCUGGGAUUACAGGCAUGCACCACCACACCUGGCUAACUUUGUAUUUUUAGUAGAGAUGGGGUUUCUGCAUGUGGGUCAGGCUGGUCUCGAACAGUGCAUGUUAAUAACUAUGUGUCCUUAGGCACAAAAUAACUGUGUGCCCUUCAAUUCCCUGAGCCUCAGUUUCCUUAUCUGGAAAAUAGUGAAAAGAUUAUU
rnacentral:lncRNA from 1 species